AUGCACCUUUGCUCUGGUCAAGUUCCCCCUUCCCUGGACAUGGGUGGAAACUGUUCAGGUCAACUAGAGGGUUCUGGCACCUUUAACUGGGAGCAUUCUAAGCCUGGCACUCAGCAUGUGUUUAAGUGUAUGAAGACCCUUAUUCUCACAUUGAAAGAAGGUCACUGACUUCGCUUUCCAAAAAUGAUUCUCUUCAUUGUUCUGACCUGAAGAUGGACAACGGGCUUUUCAGAAGAAACCCCUCCUUCACAGAGCUGAUUGGCUUCAAGGUGAGAAUGUCAAAUUACAGUUACGUUUGGGGCUGUCACCAAUGUCAGACUGAGGAUUUGGAGUGACUAAAUUUACUGAUGGUCAGACCCUGAGAUAGUAUGACAUCAUGUUGUCCAGCCAACACUAAAGUGAUGCAACUCUUAAGUGGUGCCUAUGACUUGUUUUAAGUAAGUCUCUCUAGGUCGUCAAUUGUGAGAAAGCCUAUUCCUUUGGUAUUUUUGUUGAGGAAAUUGUCUAUAGUGUUUUUACCUCUGAGCAAGCACAGAGCUUUCACUUUUCACCUUGUAUCCAUUUAUGGUGGAGAGGGAGUUUAUUUGGGUAAAAAAAAAUGAUGCAAUUAGAUAAAUAUAUGUCAAGUAGAAUUUCUGGUGGGCAGAUAGAUGAAUUAUUAACAUUGACUGAAUGCAUAUUAUGUGCCAAGAACAGUGCUAAACAUUUUACAUGGAUGGUUUCUCACACUUAUAAAAACUCUGUGAAAUAAGAGCCGUUGUUGAUUCCUGUCUUCAUCCAUUCAGGCUGCUACAACAAAAAUGCCACAGAUCGUGUGGCUUAAAUAUAAAUCAUUUAUUUCUCACAGGUCUGGAGGCUGGGAAGUCUAAGACCAAGGCACCAGCAGAUUAGGUGUCUGGUAAGAGGCUGCCUCCUGGUUCGUAGAGGGCCAUUUUCUCAUUGUGUCCUCACAGGGCAUAAGUGUAAAGAAAACUCUCUGGAGUCUCUUUUAUUUUUUUUAAGUUUAUUAAAAAAUAGCAGUGAAUAUAAAAUAUGUAAGAAGUUUUUGGAUGUACUUACAGAUAGAGUGAAUAAUAUUUACACAGGAGAUAUUGAAUCUUCAGAUGAUGCAUUUAUUUAUUAUAGUCAAGACCAAGAUUAUGUCUGUACUGUAACAUUUUAAUCAACAUGUAGCAAACUGUGACUUUGAAUUUAUGACUAUGAACUUGCUAAAUUAGCAUCACACAAUUUUGCCUAUCAGGCAAUGAUAUCUAUACCAAUUCCAUAAUUUUUAAAAUGUCCUAGUAAAGUCCUCAUUUCUAUUUAUCAAAUUAUUUUUGUUCAAAAGCACAUUUUGCUUACUUUAUCAGCCUUUGGAAUAUGUUAGCAACUUAGACAUAAUGGGUAUUUAACAAAUGCUGGCUGAAUCAAUUAAUAAAAGAAGUUCAGUCUUGUCUCUCUUUAGUCUA
rnacentral:lncRNA from 1 species